GUUAGGAAUAUUGGACAAUGGGCGCAAGCCUGAUCCAGCCAUGCCGAGUGAACGAUGAAGGCCUUCGGGUUGUAAAGUUCUUUAGCCGAUGAUUAUAAUGACUGUAGUCGGAAAAUAAGCCCCGGCUAACUUCGUGCCAGCAGCCGCGGUAAUACGAAGGGGGCGAGCGUGAUUCGGAAUCACUGGGCGUAAAGCGUGCGUAGGCGGUCUCGUAAGUUAGGAGUGAAAGCCCAGGGCUCAACCUUGGAAUUGCUCUUAAAACUGCAAGGCUAGAAUCUCGGAGAGGAUAGCGGAAUUUCCAGUGUAGCAGUGAAAUGCGUAGAUAUUGGAAGGAACACCAGUGGCGUAAGCGGCUAUCUGGACGAGUAUUGACGCUGAGGCACGAAAGCGUGGGGAUCAAACAGGAUUAGAUACCCGUGUAGUCC
rnacentral:rRNA from 1 species